UAAAAUAAAAUAUUUUGAGUUAAACUCUUAUUUAAUUAAUUCUUUUCAAAUGACUUAUUAAUAUGGAUUAUUUGAAAAUGAUUAAAUUAUUUUAAGUAUGAGAAAGCAUGAUCUAUGAUGAUAUAAUUUGUCUAUGUGAUAUUAUAGGAUUUGUUUUUAAAUGACGGAAUAUUUGACUUGUUGGCAUAAAUAGAACGAAUUAUGAUUGAUGCGCAUGUUGAUGUUCGAAUAAACGGUUUCGAACCUAAAUGUUAGUUAUGUGAUAGAUGUUUUGAGUUUAAGGUUUUGAACGAGACAAGAUUAAUAUGGAUGCUAGAACCCUAAAAUCAUUAAAGGAGAUAGUUUAGUUUAGAGACCUAUCUUCCUUUCUUACACAACUUUCUUCUCGAACUUAUCGACUCUUCGUCAAUAAAGGUCCAGACGGGAAGUGAAAGCUAAAGAAGGAGGUAACUCUACGCCCCUAGUGGGAACGGAAUGAGGUUGAGCGGGUGAUGGAAUGGAGUGGAGUUGAGCGGAUGUACCCUUGUGACGUAAAAUAAUAAUGUAACCUUGAGUAUACAUCUUCAUAUGUAUAACUCACACGUAUUUCCGCUGAAAGAUACUCUGAUUAUGUUAAGGUUUUUAUUUUAAGUGUAAUACUCUUUUGUUGGU